UACGUAGGGCGCAAGCGUUAUCCGGAAUUACUGGGCGUAAAGAGCUCGUAGGUGGUUUGUCGCGUUGUUCGUGAAAACUCACAGCUCAACUGUGGGCGUGCGGGCGAUACGGGCAGGCUAGAGUUCGGCAGGGGGAGACUGGAAUUCCUGGUGUAGCGGUGAAAUGCGCAGAUAUCAGGAGGAACACCGGUGGCGAAGGCGGGGUCUCU
rnacentral:rRNA from 1 species